ACUCCUACGGGAGGCAGCAGUGGGGAAUAUUGCACAAUGGGCGCAAGCCUGAUGCAGCCAUGCCGCGUGUGUGAAGAAGGCCUUCGGGUUGUAAAGCACUUUCAGUUGUGAGGAAGGUGGUGUCGUUAAUAGCGGCAUCAUUUGACGUUAGCAACAGAAGAAGCACCGGCUAACUCCGUGCCAGCAGCCGCGGUAAUACGGAGGGUGCGAGCGUUAAUCGGUAAUUACUGGGCGUAAAGCGCAUGCAGGUGGUUUGUUAAGUCAGAUGUGAAAGCCCGGGGCUCAACCUCGGAAUUGCAUUUGAAACUGGCAGACUAGAGUACUGUAGAGGGGGGUAGAAUUUCAGGUGUAGCGGUGAAAUG
rnacentral:rRNA from 1 species